AAUUCACAGUUAGAACCCCAGCUGCAAGUGAGACUGGAAAAAUGGCUCUCAGAGUUCCCACCUCUGCAGUAGAGGAAGACACUCCAGAAGGAGUUGAGAAUGGGUGCUGAGUGCCUCUUCAGGAUGUCUGUCACACCUCAGGAAACCUGCCAGGAAUACCAAAGGGAGUGAAAAAUCCAAGGUUGGGAAGCCCUGGGACAUUGAAGUUACAACUGGAUGAUAAAAACAGAGUUUUUUCCUUGUGACGUGACCACUGUGAUGUAAAGCUGUAUCUCCUUCAUUUCAUCAAGAAAUUCUUAAAGUUCUCCCCCAGCUUGCUUUCAUCUUUCCCUUCAUUGCCAACUCUGAAUACUUGUCAUUGAAAUUAGGGCCCACCUGGCUAAUCCAUGAUGAUCUCAUCUCAAGAUCCUUAACUUAAUGACAUCUGCAGAGACUGGUUUAUCAAAUAAGACACAGCAUAACAAGUAUCUCCUUUUUAAGCACAGGAUGUGGGAUGAUUGCAAAUAAAAUGUGCUUUCAGACACAAGUUUCAAGGGAUAGAUAACUCCUUCACAUCUGCAGGCCUAGUUGGAGAAGUAUUAAUAUUUGAUGCUUCUGCUCCUGCAAGCCAUUUGGUAUGCCAGUCAGCUGGGCUGUGUGUUCCGUGCUAUGGCCUGUGAGAUGUACAAUGUCAUCACAUGGCUAUUCGGCAGGGUCAGUGGGAAACAUGAGAAAUGAUAAGUUAGUUGCAUAUGAAAUAUGUGCAGAAAAGAAAAGCUGAGCAGUCCUUCCACAGAGCAUGCACAAAGUACUGCUGCUUGUGCUACAACAGUUAUGUCAUUUAUUAUAAAGUAUAUGUUAUGGUUAAUACUGAGCGUCAACUUGAUUGGAUUGAAGGAUACGAAGUAUUGAUCCUGGGUGUGUCUGUUGAGGGUGUUGCCAAAGGAGACUAACAUUUGAGUCAGUGGGCUGGAAAGGCAGACCCACCCUUAAUCUGGGUGGGCACAAUCUAAUCAGCUGCCAGCACGGCCAAAAUAAAAAGCAGGCAGAGAAAUGUGAAAAGACUAGACUGGCUUAGCCUCCCAGCCCACAUCUUUCUCCUGUGCUGGAUGCUUCCUGCCCUUGAACAUCAGACUCCAAGUUCUUCAGCUUUCGGACUUAGGCUGGCUUCCUUGUUCCUGAGCUUGCAGACGGCAUAUUGUGGGACCUUGUGAUCCUGGACUGUGGCUAUAUCGCUGACCUCAAGAAAACCUGCGGACAAAAUCUGCUAAAGAAGUAUCAGCAUCUAUUUCAAAAGUUAGCCAUUAUUUUAAGAAGACUGUGCUGGAAGACGGGUAUUUAACACAAACAGAUGCAAAAGAUACGGGGUUUCACCGUGUUGACCAGACUGAUUUUGAACUCCUGGGCUCAAUCGGUCCACCUGCCUCGGCCUCCCAAAGUGCUGAGAUUAUAGGUGUGAGCCCCUGCGCCUGGCCAGGGAUGCCGUUCUUCACUCUCCAGUUGGUUUCCCUCCAAGCUGGGAUUUGAACUCUCUUAUCUCCAGGGUUAGGGUUGGAGAUGGAGUUGUAAGGACAGAAAGGGAAGAGGAAUACACACAUUUUUAGCUGAUGGACUUGGCCCCAGCUUUGCAGGCUAACUGAAACUCCCAAGGCCUUGAGAUUUUUGAAAACUGCCAUAUUUCCUCUAGUUGAAGACUCGUUUUAUAUUUUUUCACAUGUUAACAUUUAUGAAAUUGGGAUGUGUAAUGUAUGCCCUGUCAAAAAAUUUUCCAGCAGCCAUUUAGAGGAGUGACACACCAACGUGGCCUGCCUGGCCUGUGGCCACACCUCCUUAGCCAGCUUCGUGGAAGUAUCUGUUCAUCCAUUUUGUCAUUUUGUUUUGUUAUUUUCAUUGGUGGCACAGCACCCUGUUAACUUAGAUUCAUGCCCCUAAUUGCCACUGAAAGUGUCUUUCACAAAGAUAACUCUGCUUUACAGCAUUGGAGCAAAAGUCACCAUGCGUGCAAAAGAUUGCCUGGCACAUGCCAGGCAUUAGGCAUCGCCCCCACUGCACAGAGUAAAUGACACACUUUUCAAAGCAAGGGGAAAUUGGUAUGACUACUUCAUGCACCAUUAAAAACAAAAAACUAUUAUUCAGGCUCCAAAAUCUUUAAAAGCUUCUAGUGAUUUUCAAAAGAAGCUGCUUAAUGUUUAUCUUUAAAAUAAGGAAAAACAGAAUUAUAAGUUUAGCUGAAGAGGAAAUGCCAAUAAACCACUAGGAUUCUCUAUGAUGCCCUCAAAUUACAUUGUCAAUCUUAAGUGUGCUGACGAGGCCAAGCUCAUAAGCAUGGCCGGAAACUGGCAUUCUCCAUACCGCUGUGAGUAACUGUGGGUGUCCAAAAUCAUGUGGAAGAAUAUUUAGUCUCUGAUAAUGAAACAGGCCAGAGUUAAACUUUGGUAAUGAAAGCAGCAUAUAAUGGCAUGGAUAAGUGAAUUCUAAAGUCAUUUAAGAAGACACACAGUAAGAUGUGCCUCUCUCUCUCUCUCUCUCUCUUUCUCUGUCUCUUCCUUUCUUUUCCUCCCUUUUUUCUUUCUUUUUUUUUGGCGGGGGACAGAGUUUCAUUCUUGUUGCUCAGGCUGGAGUUCAAUGGCACGAUCUUGGCUCACCGCAACCUCUGCCUACUGGAUUCAAGUGAUUCUCCUGCCUCAGCCUCCCGAGUAGCUGGGAUUACAGGCAUGCGCCACCACGCCCGGCUAAUUUUGUAUUUUUAGUAGAGACGGGGUUUCUCCAUGUUGGUCAGGCUGGUCUUGAACUCUUGACCUCAGGUGAUCCACCUGCCUCAGCCUCCCAAAGUGCUGGGAUUACAGGCGUGAGCCACCGCGCCAGGCCCCUCCCUUCUUUGUUUCUAAUCUCUCUUCCUUCCUUCUUUUCUUUCUUUCUCCCACUGAAAUGCUGCUAUUAAAUUGAUAGAGUAUCUUAUAAUUGAUGGUAUCUUAGAAUUGGGGAAAUAGAGUGUUUGUCAGGCUGCUUGACUUAGCAGCUGAGGGUUGAAGGGAUGGAGGUAAUUUCAAAUCAGCGAGAUUACUGGAUUUCUUUUUAAAAGGUGCUGAUGAGAUAGAAUCACCAUAACAGAGUCAAGCGCAGAUAAAAAAGAUCAGCAAAGGCCAGGUUCCCUCAACUUAUUUUGAAUGGAUGGAGAAAUGGUGAAUCUUGGGUUUGUGAGUAUGACCAGUGGGUCAUACGGGCAGAAAAGCAAGCGGCAGUCUCAAAAGCAGAGGGCAUUUAGAAUCCAAGGUUCAAGCUGGAAGAGAUCUUGGUCACCUCCUUGUUGAAUGCCUCAAUUGAAUGGAUGAGGAAAAUGGGCUCAUAUGGCAGAAAUAAUCUGUAGAGCUAGGACAGGAUCCUAGGUGUCCAGCCCCCUGUUCUACGGAUUUUCAUUUGGAGAAGUCAGUCAUGUACCUGCCUCAGGGCCUUUGCACCUCUUUUCUCUUUGCCCAGAUCAUUCUUCCCCUAAAUAGCCACAUGGCUUUCUUCCUCAUCUCCUUCAAGUUUUUGCUUAAAUUUCAGUUUGUCAAUGAGGUCUUCUCUGACCAUUUAGACCAGAAUAUGCCACCUUAAAAUAUGACUAUGGAAGACCAGAAUAUGCCACCCCAAAAUAUGCUUCUUGGGCAUAAGGAUUAUUUUGAGCUGAUUAUUUUGAGAAACUGCAGACACAGGAGUUCUAAUCUGAAAACAGAUCCCUGUGCAGGGGAAAUCUAUAUCUAUAAAGGAAGUCUCUGCUUGUAAGAGUAUCUCCCUCUCAGUAUCAGGGCAAGAAGGAUGCGUGGAAGUCACUGGAGACUCUUGUCAAUGAAGCAGGUGCUGACUUAAUUCUGCAAAACAAACCUUACCCUUGUCUACCCUGAGUUUCCUGGUGACCUCCCCACAGCACUCCAACCAGCAAUGCAGGAGAGCUGAGGUCUCGGCAUCCUCAUUCACACCUGGUAUUGCCAGUUCUUUCUUUUUAAUGUUAGCCAUUCUCAUAGGUGUUUGUAUUUUCAACUUACACUUCCUUAAUUACUGAUGAUGUUGAUCUUUUCAUGUUUAAUAGGGUGGAAACAAAGUUAAACAGAUUUCUCUACUGCAGCAGGACUCAGAGCUUUUUUGAAUUGCCUGACGGGCAGAUUGCUGGGAAUUCUUUUUCUAUGGUCAAGUAAAGAUUACAAGGCUAGAAUUCCAGCGAAGCUAUUUUGGCAAAUACUGACCUACAUGAUUGAAGGGGUCCAGAAUAUGCCACCCCAAAAUAUGCCACUUUGACAUACGGUUUAUUUUGGGCUGCAAGCGAUUGAAAAUGAGCAGAUGCAGGAUGAAUCCUCUGCUCUCUUUUUCUACCUGAAAACAGGGCGUAACAUUCCCUUUGUGGAAGGUGUUCCUCGACUCCCAUAGCAGGAAGUGUAGAGCAACUCUUACCAUCAAAGAUGGACAGUCAGCAUUGAGAUGAGUCUGCAUAAACAAACUUUUUUUUUUUAAAGUUUGUUCCAUUAAUCUCCCCCAUGUAUUUGCUAGUCACUUUCCCACAAUGUAUCAUCCCUUUCCUUUGUUAAGAUGAUAUAUACGUCCCUGAGCCUAAUCACUUGGCAUUUCACUACUUUUCUGUGAACUCCUAUGCACGUAAAAAUAUAAAUACAUUUGUAUUCCUUUUCUCCUGU